rnacentral:rRNA from 1 species
UUCCGGUUGAUCCUGCCGGAGGCUACCGCUAUUGGAGUCCGAUUAAGACAUGCGAGUCGAGAGCUUUCGGAGCUCGGCAUACUGCUCAGUAACACGUGGGUAACCUGCCCUGUGCUGGGGGAUAACCUCGGGAAACUGAGAACAAUACCCCAUAGUCCACUACGCCUGGAACGGUGAGUGGAUGAAAGCCCCGGCGGCACAGGAUGGGCCUGCGGCGUAUCAGGUAGUAGGGGGUGUAAAGUACCCUCUAGCCUUCGACGCGUACGGGUUGUGAGAGCAAUAGCCCGGAGAUGGAUUCUGAGACAAGAAUCCAGGUCCUACGGGACGCAGCAGUCGCGAAACCUUGACAAUGCGGGAAACCGUGAUCAGGGGACUCCAAGUGCCAGGAGUAAGAUCCUGUGCUUUUCUUUUCUCUUCAAAGGAUUUGGAAUAAGAGGUGGGUAAGGACGGUGCCAGCCGCCGCGGUAAUACCGGCGCCUCAAGUGGUCGUCGCUUUUAUUGGGCCUAAAACGUCCGUAGCCGGUUUGGUACAUUCGUGGGUAAAUCAGCUCGCUCAACGAGCUGAAUUCUGCGAGCACGGCCAGACUAGGGACCGGGAGAGGUGUGGGGAACUCUCAGGGUAGGGGUAAAAUCCUGUCAUCCUGAGAGGACCACCUGUUGCGAAGGCGCCACACUAGAACGGAUCCGACGGUCAGGGACGAAGCCUAGGGGCACGAACCGGAUUAGAUACCCGGGUAGUCCUAGGUGUAAACGCUGUGGACUUGGUGUUGGGGGCGCUCCGAGCGCUUCCAGUGCCGUAGCGAAGGUGUUGAGUCCACUGCCUGGGGAGUACGGUCGCAAGGCUGAAACUUAAAGGAAUUGGCGGGGGAGCACUGCAACCGGAGGAUUGUGCGGUUUAAUUGGAUUCAACGCCGG